rnacentral:sRNA from 12 species
UGGGCUGAACGCAAGCUCCGGGUCCAUCGAGGGCGGGGAAGUUCCCC